CAAUUACUUUACCGUAUACCAACUCUGCAAUCUCAAUUUUUCUCUCCAUUGCUUUCUGUCAAUCUGGUUUUCUGAAAAUGCAGCGACAAUAAUUAAAAAAGAAGGAAGAAGAGUAUGAAACUAUUUUUGCUUUUGCGGUAUUCCCAUUUUAUCUUGGCAUUGUAGAGUUGGUGGUGGGUCAUGAUAAUUUAACAAAGCAAAGGACGGGUUGGUUCUGCUGGAAACAAGUUCAAAAUGUCACUGGGUUUGCCAGUGGCAGCGGUGGUGAGCUGUGCUGAUAAAACUGUUGUAGGCUAAGAAUCUUUACAUCAUAUCGGUGAAAGAAAUGAAGGAUUGCCUCAACAGAACGCCACGUGAACCCCAAAACAGACAGAAACUUGCAAGAGAAAACCAGUGAACCACAAAAUUGUUACUCAGACAUUAGUAAGGUAUCCUGCUCAACAAACUAUGGCUGAUACAGUUACAGGUCUGGGAAAUUAAACCGAGUCCAUCGUUACAGAUGUGAUGACCUUUUUGUCAUGCUCACAUCUACUCCAUUGGGGCUUUACAGUCAUGUCAGCAAGCUCCAAUGGUGGAAACCUAUAAGAACAACUUAUUUCCAGGAACCCCUGUUAGAGCCGCCAUUGGCCUAAUAUGGGAGAGAGAUGAGCUUCUGGACUAUCAAUUUUCUUAGAGGCAUGGCUCUGGUGUAUUAUUUUCAAUCCUGGGCUUAUGACAUCUGUAUCAAUAAUAUUCUCUUAAUACAGUUAUCCAUUUCCAAGAACCCCUGUUAGAACCGCCGUUGGCCUAAUAUGGGAGGGAGAUGAGCUUCUGGAAUAUCAAUUUUCUUAGAGGCAUGGCUCUGGUGUAUUAUUUUCAAUCCUGGGCUUAAGACAUUUUUAUCAAUAAUAUUCUAUUGAUACAGUUAUCCAUUUCAUGCUUCUGCUUUUUGGGCAUUUUUGAGCCUUGAAUUGCAUACCAGAAUUUUGUACCAGUUAUUUUCAUAUUUGACCCACUUUCUGUUUGUUCUGGAAUAAUGGUCAGAAGGGAGACAGUGAUGUUGUUUUCAUCUUUUAGUUCAGAAAAUGGACAUUAGUAAGAGCCUUAGUCCUGGCAAGGUAAUUCAGUGUCGGUUACAAUCGUGGCCUUUUUAUACAAAUGCUGAUGAUGCAGCCAUGGUGAGGCUCUUCUCUUCUGUCUCUUGCCUGUGUAAAGAUGAAUCUGAGUCUUUUUAUCUGAAACCCUGCUAUUAGGGUUACACUCAUGAGUCAUUAGUUUAAGUAUGAGGCUCCACUCUUUGAGAGAAGGUUGUCUUGAUAGCUGUUGCCCUCUUGAAGUUGCUGUGUUAGCCAAUGAUCAUUAUAAUUGAGUUUACCAAACAGCUCUCCACAUACAUACACGCACCCAAACAUAUAUUUCUUUCUGCUUCUACUGGGAUUCAGCUACUUCUUCUUCUUCUUCUUGCUACUACGAGGCAAUGAUGAUGUUUUCUGCAAUUAGACCAGAUAUGAGUGAAGAGCUGUGUCCUGGCUAGGUGACUUGGCAUCUGUGUGAAAUUUACCUUCUGGUUCUUGCACAGAUGCUAUUGACGCAGCCUGUGCACAAGCCAUUCCUUUGCUGUCUGAAAAAAGGCGAAUCUGAGCCUCCUUUAUUCAUAAUAAUUUUAACUUUCUGACAAUUAUGAAUUUAUAUUUUCCUUCUGAAUGCUUUAAUAUGGCAGGUGACAGGAACACAUUAGUUUACUCCGUUCAUUGUUCACCAAUAUGGCCGAUACUUUUUAUUGCACUUAAACUAGUGCUUUCCUUUGGCUUCCAAUGUUUCUGCAUUUGUAUGUGACUUGGGGAGUGACAUGUGGCUGAAAAGUGUCCUUUUUGAGCAAUUGAUAAUAGUUUUAUUUUUGAGCCGUGUUAGCAAGCUCCAAUGGUGGAAACCCAUAAGAACUACUUAUUUCUUAGAUGGGAGAGGGACGAGGUUUUGGGCAAUGAAUUUUCUGAAGAGGAUCUCUGCACAGAAACAAAAAUGAAAGGAAAAGAGAAACAUUUAGCCAAAAAUCGAGGACUAUUGAAAGAAAAGUAGAGGUAAUGGUACUCACCUAAAGAUAAUUUUAGUCCAACCAUAGUAACCAACUGCUACAAGGUUGUCGAUUGUGGCUGAUCUGAGAU